AGUGAACGCUGGCGGUAGGCCUAACACAUGCAAGUCGAACGGCAGCACAGUAAGAGCUUGCUCUUACGGGUGGCGAGUGGCUGACGGGUGAGGAAUACAUCGGAAUCUACUUUUUCGUGGGGGAUAACGUAGGGAAACUUACGCUAAUACCGCAUACGACCUACGGGGGAAAGCAGGGGAUCUUCGGACCUUGCGCGAUUGAAUGAGCCGAUGUCGGAUUAGCUAGUUGGCGGGGUAAAGGCCCACCAAGGCGACGAUCCGUAGCUGGUCUGAGAGGAUGAUCAGCCACACUGGAACUGAGACACGGUCCAGACUCCUACGGGAGGCAGCAGUGGGGAAUAUUGGACAAUGGGCGCAAGCCUGAUCCAGCCAUACCGCGUGGGUGAAGAAGGCCUUCGGGUUGUAAAGCCCUUUUGUUGGGAAAGAAAAGCAGCAGGUUAAUACCCCGCUGUUCUGACGGUACCCAAAGAAUAAGCACCGGCUAACUUCGUG
rnacentral:rRNA from 1 species